rnacentral:rRNA from 1 species
AUUGGACGCUGGCGGAAUGCUUUACACAUGCAAGUCGAACGGUAGAGGGGGCAACCCCUCGAGAGUGGCGAACGGGUGAGUAAUAUAUCGGAACGUGCCCAGUCGUGGGGGAUAACGUAGCGAAAGUUACGCUAAUACCGCAUACGAUCUAAGGAUGAAAGCGGGGGAUCGCAAGACCUCGCGCGAUUGGAGCGGCCGAUAUCAGAUUAGGUAGUUGGUGGGGUAACGGCUCACCAAGCCAACGAUCUGUAGCUGGCCUGAGAGGACGACCAGCCAAACUGGAACUGAGACACGGUCCAGACUCCUACGGGAGGCAGCAGUGGGGAAUUUUGGACAAUGGACGCAAGUUUGAUCCAGCCAUUCCGCGUGCAGGAUGAAGGCCCUCGGGUUGUAAACUGCUUUUGUACGGAACGAAAAGGUCUCUCUUAAUACGGGGGGCUCAUGACGGUACCGUAAGAAUAAGCACCGGCUAACUACGUGCCAGCCGCCGCCGUAA